AGGAAGAUUCCUAGAGCCACAGGAGAGGAGGCAGCCGUUGGCAGUUGGGGAGACAGUUGGAGAAAGUUCCAGGGGAGUUCCAGGGAGGAGCUGAUAUGUAGGGCAGGAGAGAAUAGGAAAAGAAGAAUGGAUGCACAGAGAGUCAGGCAGAAGGGACACUAGAGAUGCAGAAAAAGAAGGCUGCAGAGACAGGUGCAGAAGGUUGGAGGGAGGAACCACUGAGACCAGCGUCCAGGGAAAGAUGUCCAACGUUUGACCACGGAGAGCAACAGGCCUUCAGCCACAGACAGGAGAGAGACCGGAUUGACAACUAUCUUCAGAGCUCCCAGUCUGGAGGCAUUGAUUAAGGCGGAGUUUAACUCUUGUUGCCCAGAGAAUUCCUCACAGGAAAAUCAACAAAUCAAUGGGAAGUCAAACACCCAGUGGUUCUGCCCAGUAGACCACCUGAGGAACUCCUGAAAAUCACCAAUGCCUGGCCCCACCCCAGGUGAAUUAGACCAGAAUCUCAGAAGGUGAAGCCUAGACAUGAAGGGUUUCAAAUGCUUCCCAGAUGAUUCUCAUAUGCAGCCAGGCUGGAGAGUCCUUGUAUUCAAUCUAGACAAAUAGCAGGCACAUGGCAGGUGCUGAAGGUGCAAAGAUGAACAAGGAAACACAAUCAGGGCCCUACUUUGUCCUGGCUCCUCCUGCCUCACGACCUACCAGCUGCUUCCCCAUGUGGUCCUGCAAGACGUAGUGUGCCCCUUUCUCUUGGAAACUAUACAUAAUAAAUACUUUCAGUGGCAUUGGC